UGGGGAAUAUUGCACAAUGGGCGCAAGCCUGAUGCAGCAACGCCGCGUGAACGAUGAAGGUCUUCGGAUCGUAAAGUUCUGUUGCAGGGGAAGAUAAUGACGGUACCCUGUGAGGAAGCCCCGGCUAACUACGUGCCAGCAGCCGCGGUAAUACGUAGGGGGCUAGCGUUAUCCGGAUUUACUGGGCGUAAAGGGUGCGUAGGUGGUCUUUCAAGUCGGUGGUUAAAGGCUACGGCUCAACCGUAGUUAGCCUCCGAAACUGGAAGACUUGAGUGCAGGAGAGGAAAGUGGAAUUCCCAGUGUGGCGGUGAAAUGCGUAGAUAUUGGGAGGAACACCAGUAGCGAAAGCGGCUUUCUGGACUGCAACUGACACUGAGGCACGAAAGCGUGGGUAGCAAACAGG
rnacentral:rRNA from 1 species